GACGUAGGGCGCGAGCGUGUCCGGAUUUAUUGGGCGUAAAGAGCUCGUAGGCGGCUCGUUGCGUCGGCUGUGAAAACCCGCAGCUCAACUGUGGGCUUGCAGCCGAUACGGGCGGGCUGGAGUUCGGUAGGGGAGACUGGAAUUCCUGGUGUAGCGGUGAAAUGCGCAGAUAUCAGGAAAGAACACCCCGUGGCGAAAGGGCGGGCUCUCUGGGGACGUGACU
rnacentral:rRNA from 1 species